GGGAAGGUGGCUCAGUGGUAGAGUGCUUGCCUUGCAUGCAUGAGGCCCUGGGUUUGAUUCCUCAGCAUCCCA
rnacentral:tRNA from 1 species